rnacentral:siRNA from 1 species
AUGCGUUAUCUGCUAACUAUCCA